rnacentral:rRNA from 1 species
AGAGUUUGAUCCUGGCUCAGGACGAACGCUGGCGGCGCGCUUAACACAUGCAAGUCGUGCGGUACCGAUGGCAAGUCUUCUUGACGAGCCUUCGGUAUAGCGGCGGACGGGUGAGUAACACGUGAGUAGCUGUCCUAGGGAGGGGGAUAACGCCUGGAAACGGGUGCUAAAACCCCAUAAGCCUCGAAAGAGGUAAAAGUGCAUCACUGCAGUCCUAGGGUGUGCUCGCGGCCUAUCAGCUAGUUGGUGAGGUAAGGGCUCACCAAGGCCAAGACGGGUAGCCGGCCUGAGAGGGUGUACGGCCACACUGGAAUUGAGAUACGGUCCAGACUCCUACGGGAGGCAGCAGUGGGGAAUUUUGGGCAAUGGGCGAAAGCCUGACCCAGCGACGCCGCGUUGGGGAUGAAGUCCUUCGGGGCGUAAACCCAUGUUGUAGGGGAAGAAGAAAGUGACGGUACCCUACGAGAAAGCCCCGGCCAACUACGUGCCAGC